rnacentral:rRNA from 1 species
UACGGAGGGUGCAAGCGUUAUCCGGAUUCACUGGGUUUAAAGGGUGCGUAGGUGGGUUGGUAAGUCAGUGGUGAAAUCUCCAGGCUUAACUUGGAAACUGCCAUUGAUACUAUCAAUCUUGAAUACCGUGGAGGUCAGCGGAAUAUGUCAUGUAGCGGUGAAAUGCUUAGAUAUGACAUAGAACACUCAAUUGCGAAGGCAGCUGGCUACACGAAUAUUGACACUGAUGCACGAAAAGCGUGGGGAUCAAACAGG